AUACAAUUUACUGAUAAGAAUAAAUUUGCAUUACAUAUUGAAAAUGUGACAUUGUUAGUUUAACCAGCCACCAACAAAAUUCAGUAACCAAGCAGCACCCAUAACACCACACAGCACCAAGCGAAUUAUCGAGGAUGAAGGUUACCAUAGUUGCCCUGGCUACUGCUUACAUUUUAGUAAAUUCACUUCUCUCAGUUAAUGCAUGCCCGCAUCUAACUUGUAAAAAAAACGAAGUAGGAAAAGCAAGUGGAUAUGAUUGUCAGACAUGUUGCUUCCAAACUGUUAAGUGUGCAGAAAUCAAAGAAUGUAAAUGCUACUGUGACAACAAUGCAGGUUUUGUAAGAAGAGAUGAUACAAAGGAGUGUAUACGCAAAACUGACUGUCCUGUAAUGCACUGUCCCAGGCUUCCAUAAAUAUUUAUAUUUGCUUUAAUGUAACAAGCACUGUACUCUUUAUUUCUUCAGCAUAUAAAGUCAUGAAUAUUAAAAAAAAUUAUAUGUCAGAAUCAUGUAAAAUGCAAAAGCUAUAGGAAAUACCUAAUUAAGUGUUCC